GCCCCCGUAGCUCAAUGGAUAGAGCAGGACCCUUCUAAGGUCAAGAUGUAGGUUCGAUUCCUACCGGGGGCA
rnacentral:tRNA from 1 species